GUGUGCUCCUAGGGGUGUCCCGCCAAGGGGCUGAGACUCUGCUGGCACGGCCGUCGACAUGGCCGAUCGCAGCGCAGUGACCCUUCGAACCUGAUCCGGAUCAUGCCGGCGAAGGGACAGGACCGCAGCGCUUUC
rnacentral:ncRNA from 1 species